GGACCCGCACAAGUGGAGGAGUAUGCGGUUUAAUUCGAUGCAACACGAAGAACCUUACCAAGGCUUGACAUGGUAUGAAUCAUUCUGAAAGGAAUGAGUGCCUUCGGGAACAUACACACAGGUGGUGCAUGGCUGUCGUCAGCUCGUGCUGUGAAGUGUUCGGUUAAGUCCGGCAACGAGCGCAACCCUUGCCGCCAGUUACAUAAUCUGUCGGGACUGCCGGUGAUAAACCGGAGGAAGGAGAGGAUGAUGUCAAGUCAUCAUGCCCCUUACGCCUUGGGCUACACGCGUACUACAAUGGCUAGGACAGACGGCCGCAAACCCGCGAGGGGAGCCAAUCCGACAAACCUAGUCGUAGUCCGGAUCGGAGUCUGCAACUCGACUCCGUGAAGUCGGAAUUGCUAGUAAUCGC
rnacentral:rRNA from 1 species